rnacentral:lncRNA from 1 species
UUAACUGUUCAUGUAACCAUUGUCUCAGUGGAAAAAAAAAAUUCAAAAUUAAAACUGAUAAAAUCUUACUUGAGAUCAACAAUGUCUCAAGAGAGAUUGAUGUUAGGGUUUUUGCCCUAGUUUUCUUACCAAAAUUAAGUUUUACUUUUUCUUGUAAGGAAAAUAAAAGUAACCAUAAAUACUUUUACUUUUUCCUAAAAGGAAAAUAUAAUUCUUUUUCAUAUUUGGCUAACCUCUUUCUUGGAGGAAAGGUUUUGGAUAUUUAUAAAUAGAAGACCCCCAUUCUCAUACCAUAACACAAUAGCAUCCACAAUGUAGUCUUUUAAGAGUUUCGUUUAGGGGAAGAUUUUCUCUCUCAUUAGUUUUAUGCUCUUUAAUAUUAUUUUUAAUAUUAGGUUUUAUAUGUAGGCUAAUUGACCAAAUUAUACAAUAACAUUAUGUUUUUAGUAUUGUUUUUUGUUGUCAUCUUAUUUAUCGUCUCAUAGUUUGCAACUAAUAUCUUCCGCAUGGACGCCCUCUCGUUUCGAACCCAACAAGUGGUAUCAAAGCCAGGUUCAAUGGUCCAAUGGUGUGGUGAGACAAGUUUAAACAGGUUCAAAGCGGUUUCAAAAUCAAGCUGCAACCAAUUUGAUGAUAAUGAAGAUAUAUGUUCAAAAGCUACAUGUGGAGAUAAUUGUCAAUCAUAUUUUCAACAAUCUUGCUGUCACAUAUUUGAAAAUAAAGCUCUUUUUUUUAACCCUGCAAAAGGGCUCCAAUAUUUUUUAACCUGAAAAGGGCUAAUAUAUUUUUUAACCCCAAAAGCUCCAUUUUUAAACAUGCCAAACAACAGUGAUAUAUGAAGAAUAUAUAUGAAGGAUGAAGAUCAUGCACAAGAAGAAGGAGG